rnacentral:rRNA from 1 species
UACGGGGGGGGCAAGCGUUGUUCGGAAUUACUGGGCGUAAAGGGCUCGUAGGCGGCCAACUAAGUCGGAUGUGAAAUCCCCAGGCUCAACCUGGGAACUGCAUCCGAUACUGGAUGGCUUGAAUCCGGGAGAGGGAUGCGGAAUUCCAGGUGUAGCGGUGAAAUGCGUAGAUAUCUGGAGGAACACCGGUGGCGAAGGCGGCAUCCUGGACCGGCAUUGACGCUGAGGAGCGAAAGCCAGGGGAGCAAACGGG